UUCGUCCUCUAUGAUAUUUUCAUGUUCUUUGUGCCUUUGCAACUUCUCCGUUUAAGUCUAACAUAUAUACAUGGUGCAUAUAUCUAUAGAUAUGUUAAUUAGCUACUGAGAAAUACUGAGGAGGUGCAGCUUUCAACUGCAACUUCAAAUCUUAACAUGAUUUUAAUUGUCUUCUACGAUAUCUAAGUUUCGACUAUUUCUGCAUCUCAGUAAACUACAAGAAAUUCUGUACAAGGAUAUAGUCG
rnacentral:lncRNA from 1 species